GAUUUCCUCUCCCUUUCUGACCCAGGCUGCUGCUGAGCCACUGGACUUGGCAAAGCCAAGAUCUAUUAAGGUCCUGGACUUGUUUACUUUGUUCUGAGUUACUAUCAUGCAACAAAAAUGACAGUCAAGCAUGUAACAUUGACAGAAUGAAGAACAAGAAAGCAUUCCAGAUGAAAAGUAGCAAGAAAAACUGACAGAAAGAAGACACAAAGAUUGCAAGCUGAAAUGGACAUCUAAGAUUUUGAACUUCAUAAUUUGUAUUAAAGAAGAGGACAGACAGAAAACAAGAAUAGUAUGUAAGGCUGGUGCAGUGUGAGCAUAAUAAUACACAAUUAAUUUCACAUAUUAGGGGAAACAUGUAACACCACAUAGCUCAGAUGAAAGAAGGGAUUCAUCAGUGAACAUACGAAGUGGAAAUCCAAAGAACAGGAGUAAGUAAGUAAGUAAGUAAGUAAGUAAGUAAGUAAGUAAGUAAGUAAGUAAGUGACACAAGACAAAAAUCAUAAACUGAUCAUAUAUUGGGACCUCAUGUAGAUGAAUGAGAGUCAGGACUUGCAGCUAUGCAAAAUGUAUAUCUGCAUAUAUUAGUCAGUCCCAUAAAGUCUUAGACAAAUAGAAAGCUCAAAAGAUAUUUCUAUUUGAUUAACACCAGGAUUAGGGAACAAUGUAUAAUAUUGUAUCAUAUGUACAUAACCUCUGUGAAUAGUGUAAAUACUUAUAAAAUAGGUUGGCAACAUAGUUAUAGGGUCUAUAGAUAUGUAACAUAGCGUGUACAUGCAUUGCACAUAGAAUUAGUGUAUAAAAUAGAGUAAGGACUUAGAGCAUAGCAUAUAAGUAGGGAAUAGAUUAAGAGUUAAGUUAAACAUAGAUUAGACAGUUACUUAUACUUCGGAAUAGAAGUGAACUAUAUUUGCACAGUAGUUAGUUAAAGGUUUGAUUGUUGAUUGUAAAGCUGAUGCUGAAAUUGUGUUCAUGGAAAAAGAAUAGAUUGCAAUAUAAGCAUAGAGAAGUAGAAAACUGUUGGUAUUAGUUUAAACUUAGUAAGAAUAAGUAGUAUUAUCAUUAGGGUUGACAUUUCUGUGUAAUUGUGUUAAAACAUUUGUUGUACUGGCUUUUGUUGUAAACCCCAAAACUAUUCUUACCCCAAACUUUCCUGCAAAAAUCUCUUAGAAUAGAUAAUUUUAGCAUAGCAUGGUGAUAGAGUAAAUAGAGGAAGUUUAUUAUUUUGGGAGGAGUAGUUAGAAACUAGAAUAAUUAGUAAUUUGUAAGUAAUACAGGUACAUGCAAAAGACCUUGGGAAGGUUACAACAUAAAAAAGGGGAUGACUAUGGAGAGGAAACUGGCACUGAGGAACCAUUUUUGAAUGUUGGCAGGACAGAAUGGCAGUUGGAGGUGCAGAAAGGGCUUGUGGGAUAGAAAGCUUUGGGGGUGGUCUUUUGCCCUGUGGAUUCAAGAGAGAUAGGAGCAAAGGAUCUGAGCUCAGGACCCCAAAUCUGUGGUACCAGAGUCUUGCCUCUAUUUCCCAUUGGGCUGGAAGACAGAGAGAUCCCUGAUGUCUCUGUAUCAUUGAUCUAAGAAGCAAAGAACAACUGAUGCUUAGGGGUGCUUUACCCCUGAACCUCAUGGGGGUCACCCUGAAGACCUAUCCUAUCCCAUUGCCUUUCCAAGAAGGACACUAGUGAUCUGUUUAGAGUGGGUAGUCUAUAUUGGUGGGUCUGAGGAGAGGAUGUGUCCCAUGUCUAGAUUGCUGCCAUGCUUAACCCAGAAGGAAGUCCCUGGACAAAUGUUUUUUAAUAUCAAGAAAGAGGUCCCAUCUGGUGAAAUGUCAUUCAUAAGGACUUAGACUUACACUUAUUACAGACCAUAAACUUGAAUCUAGAAAUCCUGACUCUCAGUGACCAUGAAGGCAGCAGAAACUGGCAAUGUGAAGCACUUAAAGCUUAGAUGCCAAGAAGCCAAGGUCAUCCACUGCAACUCAAACCAUCACCAGCCAUCUUGGCAUGUGUCUUGCCACUGGACUUCAGUGUCUGAGGAAGCAAGAGUGAAGCUGACAACUUUGUGAAGCUCUGCCUCAUUUGAAUCCAGUUUAUUCAUGAGUCAAAAGACAUCUUGUUUUGGUCCCUUUCAAGUAUAAGGACAACAACCAUUGUACUAAAGGGUAGGAUGGAGUAGCAGAGCCUACAUGAUUUAGGCACGUAAUAAAAGAUAUCCUGUAGAGCAUGCUCAGAAUUGCCAUUCUUGAUUCUGCAUAAACAAAUAUGUUGGCUUGGAAUUUAGGUAUAUUGGAAAUGAUCAACUCAUUGACUACUUCCAAAUAUGUAGUUAUCCAGUUUUGAAAUGGACUUACAUUUAUGUUUGCUUUGGUGACCCUUGUUUCUCCUCUCUUUUCCACAUCCUUUGCCUCAAUAAAUGCAGGGACUCAUUGUUGUACUAGUUAAAAGAUCGUUUCUGGUUAUCUCUUUCCUUUAACUCUCCAGGUGAUACCAUGUAAAGCUUGCAGUGAGACAUAGGGAAAUGUUGGUUUCUUUCUCUACUCUGGCAUCAUGAUGGCUGCACCUAUAGGGUAACCAGUGUAGAAGGCUUAACUAGGUAAGCCUGUACCUGUGCCCUUAGCUGCCUUGUUUUCCCCUGUCCUUAUUUAGGUGAAUGAGUAUAUAUCCUAAUAUGGAUAUGUCCAGGUCUGGAAUGACUUGGUAGGCUGAGGAAUCUGAAGGUCUUGGGUCUUUUGGGUGAGAACCAAACAAUGAUAAGAGGAGGAGACCUCAGCAACUACUCCAGUGGUCUUUGGAUAAAAUGACCACCAACAGGAGGACUAGUUCAAGCCUGGCCCUUUUUACCAGACAUGCACUGGCUUUAAUAAUGAGCUAAGGAGCAUAAUGGCACUGUCAUUUGUUUAGUUAAUGUCAUUAUCGUAUGACAAUCUUUUGUGUUUUACUAUUUCUUUUGUACAUAGGAAAUAAAUAUCUGUCUCAGACCUGAUUUAUAUAUUUUUCUUUUUUCCUCCUUUGAGGAAACACUAGUUAUCAUCAUAAAACUAACCUUUAAUUAAUUUGUCCAUUAAGGUUUCAGUGUGGGGGAGUUUAACAAGUUAAAAGAAUAUAAGAAAAUGUAAUUUAAAUUCCCCUUUCAUCAGAGGCUUAGAGAGCUUUCUUCUGGAGGUCUGUGCUAAUAUGGAGUGAAGGGGCCCUGUUCUAUACUUCAAAGGAUAUGUAGUAAGUAUGAUUGUUCUAUGUCCAUUAACCAUGUGGUGAAAAAAAAAAGAACAACUUUUGAUUGGUCACUGACUCAGGAAUUCAAGUGUAUUCAAUACUCACUUGGGGACAAUGAGGUUCUUUUCCCUUCAUGGUAUCCUUUGAGCAGGGUGAGCUACUGUGUUCCUCUUUGUGGGAAAGGACAUAAAAUGAAGUUUUGAGUGUACGGCCCUGCUGUUGGUGAGAAGGCUGAGAAAAGUAGUAUGAGGACCCAUAGCCUACUCUUCCCAUCCAGGUAAAUAUGAAACCACAAGCAUCUGGGCUUGUUGUUUCUCUUCCUUUUGUGCCUAUUCCUUCCUGACUUAUGCAAAGGGUUGUAAGAGAUGUAAAGGUCUAUGCUGUGGCCCUUGAGAGCUUCAAGAUAUUCAGAGACGCAUCAGCAGCAUUUGAGUACUGGAAUCUAGGACAAAGCUUGUGGACAGUUGAGAGUCCAGUGCACCAUUGGAGAUCCAAGGAGAGACCAGGACUCAGCUAAGCACUGCAAUGAUCCUACAUGAUGAAGAGACUUAUUCAUUAUUUGCUUUGCAUUAGAGAUAACUUGGUGACUGAUUUUGGAGGAUAAAUACUUUGUGUUAAUUUUGUUGAGGUUGAAUUCAUGGAGAAUGUGUUCCUGGUGUUGGGGAACAUGGUAGUACUUAUAUUCUUGUAUAUCUUCUCAAUAAAAUUCCUUUGUAACAGCUUAUUAAUAUUUAUUGGUUAAAUAAAAACUGAUGUGAAUUACUGGAAAAUAUUGAUCUAAUAAGGAAAACUGUAUAACUGGUGAUUAUUUUUAUUAGGGCAAACAAAAUGGAAGAGAUUCAGGCCAAUUAUAUUAGAAAGAUGUCCCCUACCAUAAAGGGAUACCCCUAGAACCUUGUAAGGGAUAAGAAAUCUGAAUUAUUUUUCUGAG